AGCGGCUUAAUUUUGUACCAAGUUACCAAUAGGGGACCCAAAGGAACCCGAUUUUAAUGGGGUUUAAUGCAGGCGAUAAACCCGAAACCCGGUGAUCUAGCCAUGGGCAGGUUGAAGGUUGGGUUACACUAACGGGAGACCCGAACCGACUAAUGUUGAAAAAUUAGCGGAUGACUUGUGGCUGGGGGUGAAAAGCCAAUCAAACCGGGAGAUAGCUGGUCUCCCCGAAAGCUAUUUAGGUAGCGCCUCGUGAAUUCAUCUCCGGGGGUAGAGCACUGUUUCGGCAAGGGGGUCAUCCCGACUUACCAACCCGAUGCAAACUGCGAAUACCGGAGAAUGUUAUCACGGGAGACACACGGCGGGUGCUAACGUCCGUCGUGAAGAGGGAAACAACCCAGACCGCCAGCUAAGGUCCCAAAGUCAUGGUUAAGUGGGAAACGAUGUGGGAAGGCCCAGACAGCCAGGAUGUUGGCUUAGAAGCAGCCAUCAUUUAAAGAAAGCGUAAUAGCUCACUGGUCGAGUCGGCCUGCGCGGAAGAUGUAACGGGGCUAAACCAUGCACCGAAGCUGCGGCAGCGACGCUUAUGCGUUGUUGGGUAGGGGAGCGUUCUGUAAGCCUGUGAAGGUGUGCUGUGAGGCAUGCUGGAGGUAUCAGAAGUGCGAAUGCUGACAUAAGUAACGAUAAAGCGGGUGAAAAGCCCGCUCGCCGGAAGACCAAGGGUUCCUGUCCAACGUUAAUCGGGGCAGGGUGAGUCGACCCCUAAGGCGAGGCCGAAAGGCGUAGUCGAUGGGAAACAGGUUAAUAUUCCUGUACUUGGUGUUACUGCGAAGGGGGGACGGAGAAGGCUAUGUUGGCCGGGCGACGGUUGUCCCGGUUUAAGCGUGUAGGCUGGUUUUCCAGGCAAAUCCGGAAAAUCAAGGCUGAGGCGUGAUGACGAGGCACUACGGUGCUGAAGCAACAAAUGCCCUGCUUCCAGGAAAAGCCUCUAAGCAUCAGGUAACAUCAAAUCGUACCCCAAACCGACACAGGUGGUCAGGUAGAGAAUACCAAGGCGCUUGAGAGAACUCGGGUGAAGGAACUAGGCAAAAUGGUGCCGUAACUUCGGGAGAAGGCACGCUGAUAUGUAGGUGAAGUCCCUCGCGGAUGGAGCUGAAAUCAGUCGAAGAUACCAGCUGGCUGCAACUGUUUAUUAAAAACACAGCACUGUGCAAACACGAAAGUGGACGUAUACGGUGUGACGCCUGCCCGGUGCCGGAAGGUUAAUUGAUGGGGUCAGCGCAAGCGAAGCUCUUGAUCGAAGCCCCGGUAAACGGCGGCCGUAACUAUAACGGUCCUAAGGUAGCGAAAUUCCUUGUCGGGUAAGUUCCGACCUGCACGAAUGGCGUAAUGAUGGCCAGGCUGUCUCCACCCGAGACUCAGUGAAAUUGAACUCGCUGUGAAGAUGCAGUGUACCCGCGGCAAGACGGAAAGACCCCGUGAACCUUUACUAUAGCUUGACACUGAACAUUGAGCCUUGAUGUGUAGGAUAGGUGGGAGGCUUAGAAGUGUGGACGCCAGUCUGCAUGGAGCCGACCUUGAAAUACCACCCUUUAAUGUUUGAUGUUCUAACGUUGACCCGUAAUCCGGGUUGCGGACAGUGUCUGGUGGGUAGUUUGACUGGGGCGGUCUCCUCCUAAAGAGUAACGGAGGAGCACGAAGGUUGGCUAAUCCUGGUCGGACAUCAGGAGGUUAGUGCAAUGGCAUAAGCCAGCUUGACUGCGAGCGUGACGGCGCGAGCAGGUGCGAAAGCAGGUCAUAGUGAUCCGGUGGUUCUGAAUGGAAGGGCCAUCGCUCAACGGAUAAAAGGUACUCCGGGGAUAACAGGCUGAUACCGCCCAAGAGUUCAUAUCGACGGCGGUGUUUGGCACCUCGAUGUCGGCUCAUCACAUCCUGGGGCUGAAGUAGGUCCCAAGGGUAUGGCUGUUCGCCAUUUAAAGUGGUACGCGAGCUGGGUUUAGAACGUCGUGAGACAGUUCGGUCCCUAUCUGCCGUGGGCGCUGGAGAACUGAGGGGGGCUGCUCCUAGUACGAGAGGACCGGAGUGGACGCAUCACUGGUGUUCGGGUUGUCAUGCCAAUGGCACUGCCCGGUAGCUAAAUGCGGAAGAGAUAAGUGCUGAAAGCAUCUAAGCACGAAACUUGCCCCGAGAUGAGUUCUCCCUGACUCCUUGAGAGUCCUGAAGGAACGUUGAAGACGACGACGUUGAUAGGCCGGGUGUGUAAGCGCAGCGAUGCGUUGAGCUAACCGGUACUAAUGAACCGUGAGGCUUAACC
rnacentral:rRNA from 1 species